AGAUAACAAUUCAACUGAACUUCAAAUCAUCCUAAUCAUGCUGUUUUCACAUAAGCUUUAGGUAUUAUUCGCUAGGAAGUUUUGUUCAUGGGCAGAUGAUUUUAUUUAUUAGCCCCGUCUCCCAUUGGUUCCUUGAAAGCCUAGCCUAUAAAGAGACAGGCAGCGUAUUACGACGUCAGUCAGUUUCAAACCGUCAGAGUUAUAUCACCAGUACGCUUCGGAAACAGAAACACUAGCCUAUAAAAAGACAGGCGUUCUGUUCGAAUGCCAGUCCGUGCCACACUGCCAACGUGAAAUCAGCAAACAGUCUUUGAAACAGCUCAAGAGCGGAAAUCAAGAAUGACAGACAGACCAAACGUGAGUGUCAAAAGCGCUGGUACAUCGCAAUACGACAUUUCAUACCAAAUGUAUUCACCAGAUGGAAAGGCUCAAAACGCAAAGGCAACAGGGACCAGUGUGUUAGAGUUCAGUGCAAAUGUUGGGUCCCAACACUAUCAUCAUGUAUCGCAACCCAUUCCAGGAGGGAUAAGCAUUAUGAAUCAGGUAACCAAAGGAGAUACCCACGUUGUAAGGGUGAAGUGUUCGUCCGAUCCCACCUACUAUUUUUAAAGAGGUCAUGGAUUAUUUCUUAAUCGUUCGUGGAUUAUAAACAAUAAUAUGCACAAUGUGACCAAUGGAUUUGACCUUUCAUAAAUCGCAAUAGGACUACCUUGCACUGACCGCUUGAGGUUCGUAUCGAUCUGUUCUUUUAAGCAAAAUGUAUGAAGUAAAUACAUUUAUUGAGACAAAUGAUGAUACAAUAUCAUCACGUUCACACCAGAUUAUGUCAUUAUUUCAUGUGGCUCAGUUGCUUGUAAAUGCCUGUCUUGUGUGUUUCUGUGAUAAAGUCAUAAUCGAUCUGUGAUGUUUGGGUAUUUUAAUGUAUUUUAUCCUGCUACUUCAUAUACUAUAAGCUUUAGUCGUGUUUUAUCCACUACAAAGCAUUGAACAUAUUUGAUAAAUAUCUUAGCAACGAACAAAAUUGUUAAGUGAGGGUAGCGAUAGCACCACGAUACAGUCAAACGCAAAUAAACAAAUUAUUUACUUUGGUUUGGCUGUUUUUCCUGUUUGCUUUUCUCAUAAAAAUUUCAGUAUACGUUCUGUGAAGUUUAUGUUUACAUACUUGAUAUUUUCAUUAUUGAAUAAUGUAACUAGCCAUGCUCUUGAUUUGUCCAAUUUUGUGCUGAAGCUUAUACUGUUUUGAUUAGUUAACGGAAUGGUCCCUCGCAAAACAUAUAAUGCUUUUCUUUUAUGAAUAACCUAUUUCAACAUUAUAGGAAAAAGUUUAGUCAUGUGUGUUCAAGUAAUCGACCAAGCCAAUUUCAGGACAGGAGUACAAUUUCAGAACUGUACUUUACAGUUUUGUUGCAAAAAUAUUUACAGUUUCUUAUGGUCACCUGGAGUACUCGCAAUUAACACCCUGGUUGUGAAUUGUACCCUUGAUGCAUGGUCAACUUCUGUUUGUGAUUUAAAUAUAAAAUACUAAUGAAAUACAAUUUACACUGCAAUGUUGAAGUUUGUUAUUCCUUGGUAUAUAUGUGGUACGUCAAUCAUUAUAUGUACAUUAUAAGUAGAAAUAAAAUGUCAACUGCAAAAUCGAA